AGAGUCCUCAAGCCAAUAUUGGAACACAUAGGAACAAACUGCCCAGAGUUAAAGGAGCUGAAGUUAUCCAUAACAUCUCGAGGAACUGCAGAAGCUCUUAAUGUCUUCAAAAAUUUAAAGUGCUUAGAUGUAGAUGCAGAAUGUUCCUUUGAGCUCUUCCCUGCAAUAGAACAUCUGAAAGAGUUGGAGAAGUUAACUGUAAGAGGUGGAUAUGAGAAUCUUACCCAGGAGACAAAAUUUAAUUUUAAUGCAUUCAAAAACCUGAAGGAAGUGAGCUUGUCUCACAUAGGCAUUAGUGCAGAAUCUCUGAAGACUCUAUCCAAGUGCAGCAAACUCAAAGCUUUACAUUUACUGAAUGGUAU